AGACGGAGGGGGCUAGCGUUGUUCGGAAUUACUGGGCGUAAAGCGCGCGUAGGCGGCCGUUCAAGUUGGGCGUGAAAGCCCGGGGCUCAACCCCGGAAGUGCGCACAAUACUGAGCGGCUCGAGGCCGGGAGAGGAGAGUGGAAUUCCCAGUGUAGAGGUGAAAUUCGUAGAUCUUGGGAAGAACACCGGCGGCGAAGGCGGCUCUCUGGUCCGGUUCUGACGCUGAGGCGCGAAAGCGUGGGGAGCAAACAGGAUUAGAAACCCCAGUAGUCC
rnacentral:rRNA from 1 species